GAUGAACGCUGGCGGUGUGCCUAAUACAUGCAAGUCGAGCGGUAACAGGUCUAGUUUACUAGAUGCUGACGAGCGGCGGACGGCUGAGUAACACGUAGGAACGUACCCCAAAGUGAGGGAUAACUGCUCGAAAGAGUAGCUAAUACCGCAUGUGCUCUAAGGAGUAAAGCUUCGGCGCUUUGGGAACGGCCUGCGUUCGAUUAGCUAGAUGGUAAGGUAAAAGCUUACCAUGGCGACGAUCGAUAGCUGGUCUGAGAGGAUGAUCAGCCAGACUGGGACUGAGACACGGCCCAGACUCCUACGGGAGGCUG
rnacentral:rRNA from 1 species